CGCGUAGGCGGUCCGUUAAGUUGCCGGUGAAAUCCCCCGGCUCACCCGGGGAACUGCAUCUCAUACUGCUGGACUUGAGUGCGGGAGAGGAUGGGGGAAUUCCUGGUGUAGCGGUGAAAUGCGUAGAUAUCAGGAGGAACACCUGUGGCGAAGGCGCCCAUCUGGCCCGUUACUGACGCUGAUGCGCGAAAGCCAGGGGAGCAAACG
rnacentral:rRNA from 1 species